rnacentral:lncRNA from 1 species
CAAAUCAUUUUCUUUGAUGGACGAGUCUUGAGUUCACAGUGUGGGGACACUGGAGUGAUUGUGCAAGUGCUUGUUAGAGAACAAGGGUACUGAGCUUGACCAAAGCAAGAAGUCACUUAGAUGUUUAUCCACUCAUCAGUGACUUACUUGAUGCUGCAGUUGUAUGACUGGUAUUUAGACCUGCAAUGCCUCAGUUAAUCACAGUAAGGCUGCUGUAGUUUAACGAGCAUAUAAAUAUGGGCACUAUCCAUAUGGGUUCUUGUGGUGCAGAUUGGCUGCAGUAGGUUCACUAUCGGAUUAAGGUUGCAUCUAGAUGGGACCUAUCGACCUUGAUAGAUAGGAGUGAUCCUAUGUGAUUUAUGGGACUAAGUUCGAAAAAUCUUGGCCAGGGCAAUUUGAAAAAGGAGU